GAUUUCUGGUUCGGCGCACUUGGCCCGUCUCGGUUUACGGGAUUGCGUGCCGGUGUGCGCCAUCCAUCCUUCGGGAAAUACACAGCUACCCUUCACUGGGUCGGUUGUGCUAUCCCGAUCUUUUACUUUGAAAAAAUUAGAGUGUUUAAAGCAGGCUUGCGCUAUGAAUACAUUAGCAUGGAAUAAUAAUUUAGGACUUUGCUUCUAUUUUAUUGGUUUCUAGGAGUAAAGUAAUGAUUGAUAGGGAUAGUUGGGGGUGCUAGUAUUCAUCGGCCAGAGGUGAAAUUCUUGGAUUCGAUGAAGACUAACUAAUGCGAAAGCAUU
rnacentral:rRNA from 1 species